CAUAGUAAUCACAAUCAGCUGCAAGUUCUGGAAGCUCGACAAUUUAUUGGGGGAAAAAUUUGCUCUUUAAAAGAAUGCAAUUGCAAUAAAUUUCAGUUGAAUUAGAAUAUGUACGACGUAAUGUCGAGUUUAGUUGAAACAGUCGCAAUCGUGCAUAUUCAAAUUUAUAAAAAUAAAUUACCGAGCAGACUUUACAUCUAAUAACGUAUACAUUCGCAUCAAUACAUUACACCUUCCGUGUUCUACGUUUGAAACUUCAUUUAUUUUCGAAACUUUAAUAUUCAAACAUAAUGUUCAAGUUGUUGUAAUGAAUACACAUCCUACUUGAUUUCAUAGAACCAAAAUCGCGUACAGAGAAACACAACUUGCUGUUGGAGAGUGCAAGAACUAAAUGAUUAAAGGCGACCGCUUACUGCUUUCAGGAUAAAAAUGCAUAUACCGAACAUGAAAGCAUCAUCAACGAGGAAACUCAGAGUAGGAGGUGGGAAAACAACAAGGCAACAGGACACAUGAAAAGGAAUUCACGGAGUAUGCAUAUAACACAAAAAAUAUAUAUCGCUAAAACAACUCAGAAGCACACAGUGGGCUAAGUCGGCCUACUAUUCUGUAUUCGGUUUAAACAAAUCACGGAUUCAACACACUAACACAUGCAUUUCUGCAUGCACAUCGUAUACAAUAAGGAACUGCAAUUGUCAUUUUUCUCUUACUGGUACAAGCGCAGGAGUAAUUUUGUUGUGGUAGGUUCACAACAACGCAAACCGGAGAAUAUUGUCAACAACUGGAAAUGUUUUAAAGGACCAGCAACCAUUUUUUAAAAGUUAAUAAUUUUAAAUCCAAAAUCAUGUUACCCGAGGGUUGUAACUAUAAACAAGACAUAUAUGUAAGUGUGUGAUGUGAAAAAUAUAUAUCAUUGAACUAUAUAUAUUUCUUAUUGUAAUAUGAGAAAUUCAAAAAAUCCUCAAAACU